CCAUAGUUGAUGAGGAACUGACCCUCUUUGGGGCCUCAAUUAGUCUUUCACCCUCCUCUCCUUCCCCCAAAUUUCCAUCAUUGGUGAUAUUUACAUUGGAAUUCUUCCCAGGACUUCAGGAACCCGGCAUGGGUACAAAAAAGAAAAUGAGAACUACUUCUGCCUUCAUUCUACCUCCACCCUCCCAGACACUUGAGGGUCCAGACCCGAGAGACGGGCCCGAGAGCUUUGCUGUUAUCUCACUUGAUUAGCAACACUGUUUAUUGCAGCUCUGCUAGUCGCUGUUUGAGAGUGCUUGGCCAAGUUCCUAAAGUUCUCCAAGUACCAGGGCCCUCAUUUGUAAAAUGGAAAUGAUGUUUGUGGCCUUCUCAUAGAAUGCCUUGAGGAUUUAACAUGUCCUGGUACAGGGCCAUCACUUGACAUUUGAAUUGUUAAAAUGCUGUGUGUUACAAAAAAUAAUCACAUUUUCUUAUUGACUGCAUUAUAAUAAACUCUCACUGGGUCUUUUACCUUGUCCA
rnacentral:lncRNA from 12 species